AGCGCUCCUGGAGAGGCUGUGGGUUCGUGGCAUCCGCGCCGCGGCCGCAAGUAUAGCAGGUUUCGUACCUGGUGUUCAUCGCCGUUAAGUCAUCGCUGCUGCCACCCAGGCACGGCUCUCUAUGCCGCCGCUCCCUCCACCCUCUAGGCACUGCCUGCCGUAAGAAUUUUAACUGCGACACUCGCUUCAGCAGGAGAUUUUAUUGGCUGCAGACACACGCAGCAUCUUCUUGCGCUCCUCCUUGAGGUGGAUGGGCAGCUAGCUGGAGAUGACACAGGAUGAUGCGCAUCUUUCGCACGCUGGCUCCAAGAUCUCCGCUGCCAGAUGCAGCAACAAAGCUUCUUUGUACAGACAGCCCUGGACACACUUCCAGCAGCAAUUCUUCUUGCAGGAACUGGUGCAAGAACAGGAUUUAUUCGUGGCACAGGAGCAGUUGGUGUCCACUGGGAGUGGAGGCAGAAGAGAGACCAGAGCGGGUAUGUUAGGAGAGAAAGCAGUGACUUCAACAGAAGUGGAGUAAAUAAAGAUGAUCACAGAACUUGGAAGCUGACGAAAUUAAUUUUGGAAAAGAGCUGGCUUGGAGCAUGACAGAAGAAUUCGAUGGAAAGAGUGCUGGGAGCCCAACUCAAGACUGAUGUGUGCUUGGCAGGCAGUCUACCCCCGAUCUCAGUCCUCCAGCCUUUCGGCCUUUUUUCCUUUUUGGAGACAGAAUUGCAUCAUAUGGCAUCCUACACAGUCCUGCCUCAGUCUCUGCAGUGCUGGGAUUGUAGGCCUAUGCCACCUAGCCUUUCUACAAUACAAACAAAUAUGAAAAGAAGAGGGACUUCUUUGGAAAGGAGUACAGGGACUAUGGAAGAGAUGAAAAGAUAAUAUUGUCAGAAAUUAUGCCGCUUUUGAAGAGAUAAACUGAACUCUUGAUUCUGUGAGGUUAUUAAAGAAUAUUAAUUUUCAAAUCACGGUAAAAUCUUGAUUCAGCAACACAUGAGGAUAAUCAUUGUGUCCAUGGAAACCUUGGGAAGCAGUUGAAAGCCUGGGUAAGGUGUCAAUACUUUUGGGUGAGGUUUCUCAUUUUGAAACAAAAGGAAAGUGGUUCCAUGUGGCAUUUCCAUCCUUCUUCAAUAGAUAGUAUGUGCUUACCUGAGAUUAUUUUAGGUGUUAAGAAAGCCCUGCCCAUGGGGCUGGAGAGAUGGCUCAGCGGUUAAGACCACUGGCUGUUCUUUCAGAAGUCCUCAGUUCAAUUCCCAGCAACCUCAUAGUAGCUCACAACCAUCUGUAAGGGAUCUGAUGUCAUCUUCUGGCACACAAGUAUACAUGCAGACAGAGUACUCAUAUACAUUAAAUAAAUAAAUAAGUCUUAAAAAAAA
rnacentral:lncRNA from 1 species